CGCCGACCGGCCCGGCUUCCUGGGCACCAGCGGUUUCGGCUCGCUGGACAAUGUCAGCGUGCUGGAGCGCUGGGAAGGCGA
rnacentral:tRNA from 1 species